GACGUAGGGGGCCAGCGUUGCUCGGAAUUACUGGGCGUAAAGGGCGCGUAGGCGGCUUGACAAGUCACUUGUGAAAUCUCCGGGCUUAACUCGGAACGGCCAAGUGAAACUGUCAUGCUAGAGUGCAGAAGGGGCAAUCGGAAUUCUUGGUGUAGCGGUGAAAUGCGUAGAUAUCAAGAGGAACGCCUGAGGUGAAGACGGGUUGCUGGGCUGACACUGACGCUGAGGCGCGAAAGCCAGGGGAGCAAACGGG
rnacentral:rRNA from 1 species